AAGUAGUUCAGCGUUUGAUGGAUUGAGGAUUCAGAGUUGGGAGUUUGAGAAACUCCCCAUCAGUUAGUGCGUGUGAUCGUAAUGGCUAAUGCGUGGUUGGGAAUUCAGGGUGUGGAUUGCCCGAAGGACUCGAGGGAGUCGGUGUGAGGAUCUUGAGAGCUGAUGGCGCAUGGGUGCCUUUGUAUUAGCAGUCAGUGGUGGAAGUGUUGUAAGACUACGAGUAAGUCAUAACAUUCCUUGGUAGUUUCGUUAGCGGAGUUGGGGCGAGGCCCUUAGCUCCUAGUGAUCAGGUAGGGAUCAGGAAUGGGUAGUGGAUGAGAAUGAUAGGGAGUUUGCCUGUAUAGCCCUAGAGAGGUGAGACCUUGGGAGAGGCCGCUCCAGGAUAUAGUCGGGUGAGACCCGUGGGCGAGGCCCGUAUGAGAUUAGCAGUUUAGGUGAGACCUGAGAGCAGGGAUGCUCAGUAGUAUGGUUGGGUGAGACCCGUGGGCGAGGCCCGAGCGAGAGUGGUUAGACUAGUGGGACUAGAAGGUUAGAGGCGGGUGGGACCCGUGGGCAAGGCCCGUAAGUUUUAGCAGCACAGGUGGGACCUAGUAAGGACCUUAGUGUCAAGAUAGGGGAUCGAGGAUCCUAGGAUUGUAGCGCCUGAAUGGCAUGAUAGAUUGAGAAGUUAUAGGUGGUUGAAGUUUCUUCGAAAGUCGCUGGGAGCAACUAAGAGUUGUGAUUGGGCUUAGUGACCGGUGGGAGCCGGUAAUCCAGACAUUGAUAGCUUGGUAGGGACCAGGGUGGUCUCAGUUUAUCCGGAAGUCAGAUAAGGAACAGCAGAAUUGCCAGGCAGUGGCAGUGUAAGUAUGCAACGUAUGGUGGAAUUCAGUUAGUUGAUCGAGGGGUGCUCGACACCAAGUUAUGACAAAAGAGGAGUGUCAGUGGUUACUGGCGGUGACGACCAGUACUGGAAGUAGCGGGAGUAAUAGAAUGGGUGAAGAUAGGGUCUUCACAGUGGCAGAGGAAAUAGUUGGUUAUGGAGCAUUGCCUUGGGGAGGCAAGGAAAUCGCGCAAAGAAGAAGAAGGGGUGAACCCCUAUAGGUUCAGUGCAGUACUCGGUGAGUACCAGACGGAUUAUCGGUNGGGAGGCAAGGAAAUUGCGUGAGGAAAGAAGGGGUGAACCCCUAUAGGUUCAGUUGCAGUUCUCGGAGAGUACCAGAAGGAUUGUCGGUUGAGUAAGUUGUGUUUCCAGAAUGUUCAGGGUCAGGGCUGACCCGAGAUGAUUAUCCGCAAGGAUUUAUGCUAGUCAGAAUGACCGGGCGGGAGACCAGCGAAGGUAGGCAGCUAGUGUUGGAUUAAUUGGUGGGAUAUUGGAAGCAGAUCGCAGGCGGUGGGCCAUCGCAAACUUCGAGGAAGAAGUUU
rnacentral:lncRNA from 1 species